rnacentral:rRNA from 1 species
CCUACGGGAGGCAGCAGUGGGGAAUCUUGCGCAAUGGGCGAAAGCCUGACGCAGCCAUGCCGCGUGAAUGAUGAAGGUCUUAGGAUUGUAAAAUUCUUUCACCGGGGACGAUAAUGACGGUACCCGGAGAAGAAGCCCCGGCUAACUUCGUGCCAGCAGCCGCGGUAAUACGAAGGGGGCUAGCGUUGCUCGGAAUUACUGGGCGUAAAGGGAGCGUAGGCGGAUAGUUUAGUCAGAGGUGAAAGCCCAGGGCUCAACCUUGGAAUUGCCUUUGAUACUGGCUAUCUUGAGUACGGAAGAGGUAUGUGGAACUCCGAGUGUAGAGGUGAAAUUCGUAGAUAUUCGGAAGAACACCAGUGGCGAAGGCGACAUACUGGUCCGUUACUGACGCUGAGGCUCGAAAGCGUGGGGAGCAAACAGGAUUAGAUACCCUGGUAGUCCACGCUGUAAACGAUGAGUGCUAGUUGUCGGCAUGCAUGNAUGUCGGUGACGCAGACUACGACUAUAGACACCGCCGCCGUCGGGAGGUACGGUCGACGAAGAAAGUUAAACGUAACGUAAAGUUAAAGUUAGUACGUUCGUUAGAGAGCGACGACGGACGACGACGAGGGAGGAGG